rnacentral:rRNA from 1 species
UACGGAGGGUGCAAGCGUUGUUCGGAAUUAUUGGGCGUAAAGGGCGCGUAGGCGGUUGUGAUAGUCAGAUGUGAAAUCCUCCGGCUUAACUGGAGAACUGCAUCUGAAACUUCAUAGCUAGAGUACAGGAGAGGGAAACGGAAUUCCCGGUGUAGAGGUGGAAUUCGUAGAUAUCGGGAGGAACACCAGUGGCGAAGGCGGUUUCCUGGCCUGAUACUGACGCUGAGGCGCGAAAGCGUGGGGAGCAAACAGGAUUAGAUACCCCUGUAGU